rnacentral:rRNA from 1 species
AACGAACGCUGGCGGCAGGCCCAACACAUGCAAGUCGAGCGAGGACUUCGGUCCUAGCGGCGGACGGGUGAGUAACGCGUGGGAACGUGCCCCUUGGUACGGAAUAGCCCCGGGAAACUGGGAGUAAUACCGUAUGAGCUCUACGGAGGAAAGAUUCAUCGCCAAGGGAUCGGCCCGCGUUGGAUUAGGUAGUUGGUGGGGUAAUGGCCUACCAAGCCGACGAUCCAUAGCUGGUUUGAGAGGAUGAUCAGCCACACUGGGACUGAGACACGGCCCAGACUCCUACGGGAGGCAGCAGUGGGGAAUUUUGCUCAAUGGGGGAAACCCUGAAGCAGCAACGCCGCGUGCGGGAUGAAGGCCUUCGGGUUGUAAACCGCUUUUACCAGGGACGAUAAUGACGGUACCUGAUGAAUAAGUCACGGCUAACUACGUGCCAGCAGCCGCCGUAAAAC